rnacentral:rRNA from 1 species
CCUACGGGGUGCUGCAGUGGGGAAUAUUGCACAAUGGGGGAAACCCUGAUGCAGCGACGCCGCGUGAGUGAAGAAGUAUUUCGGUACGUAAAGCUCUAUCAGCAGGGAAGAAAAUGACGGUACCUGACUAAGAAGCCCCGGCUAACUACGUGCCAGCAGCCGCGGUAAUACGUAGGGGGCAAGCGUUAUCCGGAUUUACUGGGUGUAAAGGGAGCGUAGACGGCAGCGCAAGUCUGGAGUGAAAUCCCAUGGCUUAACCAUGGAACUGCUUUGGAAACUGUGCAGCUAGAGUGCAGGAGAGGUAAGCGGAAUUCCUAGUGUAGCGGUGAAAUGCGUAGAUAUUAGGAGGAACACCAGUGGCGAAGGCGGCUUACUGGACUGUAACUGACGUUGAGGCUCGAAAGCGUGGGGAGCAAACAGGAUUAGAUACCCGAGUAGAC